GGAGAGAUGGGUGAGUGGCUGAAACCAACAGUUUGCUAAACUGUCGUAUCCGAUUAGGGUACCGGGGGUUCGAAUCCCCCUCUCUCCGCCA
rnacentral:tRNA from 3 species